AUGACUUUGUGAGACCCAAGAAACAACCCAGAGCCAGCAAUCAUAGAGCCAGCCUAUGUCUUAUUGGGGGAACUGAUGCACAGAGAUUCCAGGAGCAGCAUACUGGACAAAGUACCCACUGCUGGGAUCUACAUGCAACAAGUUUUUGUAGUGUAGCAACUAGCCUCACAGUUCUCCAUAGCUUUGCCCUUUGUUGGGUGGCCAAUGUUCCAAGGAGAUCAGAGCCUGGACAUCCUGAAUUACCAAGGAGAUGGCCUGAGUUGGCACCCUGGAACCUCUGACUUGGAAUGCUGAACAACAUUUCCACAUAUCUUGCUUGUGGGAAGUGACAGAAGAAAGACAGGAGCUAUACACUCUCAAGAUAAUGAUUAAUAGGGGCAUUCAGGGUAUGCUUGUACAAACCAGCCAUCUGGCCCUUACCGUGCAGCCAGUCAUCCAUAUCUAGAAAUAUAUUGUAGUGAAAUAAAGAUGCAAGUCACAAAUAUGCAGCUGUUUAUAAAAAGAAAAGCUAAAUCUCAGCCCAAGUGUCAAAUAAUAGGUUGCUUAUUGGUGAUAGCACAUCAAUAUAAUAAAAUAUUAUUUAGCAAUUACAAAUAAGCAACAAAGCCUUCUUAAAUAAAUUACAGUUCAGCCAUCCAAAUAAAAAAUGAUUUGUGGGAAGAAUAAGAAGUCUUCUACUUUCAGACAAGAUGACAUAAAGGAGACCAGAUUUACUCUCUCAUCUGAAACAAGUGGAAAAAACAGACAACAUACAUGAAACAAUGGUUUUCAGACAGUGGAUAACAGCACAAGCUAGUCAUUUCAGAGAGAAGGAAAACAAAUAAAGUGAUGCCUACAGUCACCUCCAACUUACUCCCUUGAGAAAUAUUCCAGGCCAUGGCACAGAAAGGAGGAGCUCCGUCAGAGCUCAUUGAUCUCUCUGAGUUGAGGAGACAGAGGUGGGAGUCCAGGGAGGUCAAGGCAGCUAACAUUCACAGGGCUGAAUAUUAGAAGAGAGAGCUGAACACUGGGACAAUUGCAGAAACUCGCAGAUGGUCCUGCCAAGGUAACUGAUCAUAAGAAGAUUGCCCAAGGGCAAGGAGACAACUACCCAAAAGAAUUAGAAGAAACCAUCAUCAGUGAUCACACUGGGUCAGGAUUAGUGCCUGAUGUCACUAGUCAGAGUGAAGAACAUUAUAAUUCACAGGAAAUAAGUAUAGUACUCAGAACAGUUUUGCCUUAAUAGUGGGGAAAAUCAACACUAGACUAAGCCCUAUUCUGGUCAUCUCCAACAAAGCCUGGAAACAAGAUCCAAAAGAAGCAAACUGUUUAUUUGAUAACUUAACCACAUUCCAGAAUAAAGCUCAAGAAAAUUUAUGGAAUAUAAAGAUAUAUCUAGCACCCAUCAAGAUAAAAUUCAUAAGGUCUAGCAUCCCACUAAUAAUUACUAGGCAUGCAAAGAGGCAAGAAAAUACAACUCAUUAUGAAGAGAGAAAGCAAUCCAUCCAAAGUGACCCAGAAAAAAAAUAAUACAAUAAACUUGUAGACAAAGAUAUUAAAACAGUAAUUAUUAUUGUAUGCCAUAUGUCAUGGGACUAGAGAAAAAACUGAACAUGGUAAGACACAAAUCAAACUUCUAGAGAUAACAAUACAGUGUCCAAGAUGAAAAAUUCACUGGAUGGAACUAACAACAAUUUAGACACUGCAGAAGAAAAGAUAAGUAAAAUUGAAGGCAAAAUUAUAUAAACUACCAAAAAUAAAACACAUAGAGAGGAAAAAGGUUGAAAAAAAUGUACAGAGUACCAGUAGGUUGUGGGACAACUUCAAGAGAUUAAUGUUUAUGAAAUUUCAGUCUGCUAUGGGGAAAAGAGGGACUGACAGGGAAAAAGUUUUUCAAAAAAAUACUGAAAAUUUUAAAAAUGUGUUGAACACUAUAAAUGUAUACAUCCAAGCAGCUCAAUAAACUUCAAGCAUGAGAAAAUUAUACCAUAGGACAUCAUAAUCAGAUUGUCUAAUACUAGAGAUAAGGUCAAUAUAUUAAAAGUGGCUAGAGGGAAAAAAGACACAAUACAUACAGAAGAACAAAGAUGAGGUAAUGGCAAAUUUCUCACCUGAAACAAUGUAGGCUAGAAGACAGUGAAAUUAUACCUUUGAGGUGGUGAAAGAAAACAAUUGUCAAUCUACCAUUCUUUGCCCAGGAAAAAUAUUUUUCAAAAAUAGUGACCCAAAGUAUAAAAUAAGUAUGCAUGAAUCCAUACUAAUUGUAUCAGUUUACUAUUGCUUUUGUAACAAUUACCAUACAUUUAGUGGUUAAAAUGACAAAAAGUUAUUAUUAUAUAGUUCUGGAUGUCGGGAGUCUAAAAUCAGUUUUACUGGCCUAAAAUCAAGGUGUUGGUAGGCCUGUGUUCCCUCUGGACGACAGGGGAAAAUCUUUGGCUUUUUCAGUUUCUAGAAGCUGCCUAUGUCACUCCAGUCUCAGCUUCCUUUGUCUCUUGCUCUGACUCUGACCCUCCUGCCUCUCUCUUAAAGAGACUCUUAUGAUCACAUUGGGCCUACCCAGAUAAUCUGGGGAUAAUCUUUCAUUUCAAGGUCCCCAAGCCAUAUUUGCAAAAUCGCUUUUGCCAUAUAAGGUAACAUAGUUAUAGGCUUUAGGGGUUAGGACAUGGACAUCUUUGGGAGGCUGCUUUCAGCCUACACACUGAUAUAAAUAAAUAAUAGCAUAAAUUUUUAAAUUGAGGAGAAGAGACAAAUCUUUAUAGUAGAAUUUUAAGUAAUCUAAGUAGAUGCUCUUUCUCCAGGAUGUGGAGCAUAACCUCCUACUUUCUUGAGUAAGGGCUGAACUUAGUGACUUGCUUCAAAGGGUACAGUAUGAAAAGGAAAAAAAACAGUAACUUCAUAGUCCAGAAACCUGGCAACAAACACUACUUUAACAAAGCGAUGAGGGUUAAUAUCACUAGUGAGAAUGUAUGAUGGUAGAAUGCACCCAGUAUCAUGUCAAGAAGGGUACUUCCUCUGUGUGGUAUUCUUCCCAGAAACUCAUAACUCCAGUCUAAUUGUGAAGAAAAAAAAAUCAGACAAUCUCAAACUGAGCGACCUUCUAUGAAAUACCUAACCAGUACUCCUCAAAACUAUUAAGGUCAUAAAAAAACAAAGACAGACUGAGAAAUUGUCUCAGACCAGAGGAGACUAAGGAUACAUAAGGACUAACUGCUAUAUGGUAUCCUGGAUGGGAUCCUGGAAUAGGAAAAAACUGUCAGUGGAAAACAAGUGAAGUCUGGAUAAAAUCUAGAGUCUAGUUAUUAGUAAUGCAUCAAUGUUAGUCCAUUAAUUUGACAAGUGUACCCUGAUGAUGUAAGAUAUGAACAUCAGGGGAAACUGUCAAGUGGCAUAAAGGAGCUCUCUCUACUAUUUUUAUCACUUUUCUGCAAAUGUAAAAGUAUUCUAAAAUUUAAAAAUUCAAGUGAAAUGAAGACUUUUCAAACAUACAGGAGCUGAAAGAAUACAUCCCCAGCAGACCUGCACUACAAGAUGUUUUCAAGGAAGACCUUCAGCCAGAAGGCAAAUGAUGCCACAUGGACACCUGGGGCUCAACAAAGGAGCUAAAUGCACCACAAAUGGAAGUGUGUGCUUUUUGAAGGAAGGAGAGAAGUUUCCUGUCAAGGGUGGCCUCCUGCUGGAGACAUCACAUUCAGAAAGUUUCAGAACACUGGACACAGAGGGAAGAUCUUACAAGCUUUCAGAGAGAAAAACAAGACAAAGCAAACAGGUUCCAUUUGAAAAGGUCAGUUAUCAGAAUAUUCUUGCUUUCUUAAUAGUAACACUGGUAACCAGAAAUAACUGAGAUGCACACCAUCUGAAAAACUUACUAUUUAUACACAAUGUUUAGA